UCCAUGGGGUCGCAAGGAGUUGGACACGACAGAGCGACUGAACUGAACUGAAAUGAAAUAGAAAACACUAUCAGAAACGUGAUUUUUAUUUUUUUUUUAUUUUUUUUAGAUUAAAAACUUUAAUGAAACACCUUAUCUAUAAAUAUUGAACAUACAGAUACACACAGAACUUGUAGAUAAAACUGUAGAUAAAACUAAUACUAAAUCUAUACAACAAAACAACUUAAGUUAUACUAAAUGAGGGCCCUCAGGAAAGAAGCUGUGAGGCCUCCUUCGGUCUGGUGCAGAUGAGGCUCCUGGUGCUGUGGGGGCUCCAUCCCCUCUGGGGUCCAGAAUGGGGUCCAGGUCUUUAGGGACUCAGCAUAGAGCCACUUUCACAUUCUGAAAGCGCCACCUUGGCGGCACAUGGAGUCUCUUCUGUCUUGUCACAAGCUGGGUUGACUGGCAGGUCCUCAGUGAAACCGUGUUCAUUGGCUUCCCCGGAUUCCUCAGUCAAGUCCUGGAAGGGUUCCAUCACCAGACUCCCCUGGGGAGCAUGUUCAUUGGCUUCCCCGGAUUCCUCAGUCAAGUCCUGGAAGGGUUCCAUCACCCGACUCUCCUGGGGAGCGUGUUCAUUGGCUUCCCCAGAUUCGUUCACAGUACUCAGAGCCUUUACCUCAGGCAAGUCCUGGAAGGGUUCCAUCACCAGACUCUCCUGGGAAGCGUGUUCAUUGGCUUCCCCGGAUUCGUUCACAGUACUCAGAGCCUUUACCUCAGGCAAGUCCUGGAAGGGUUCCAUCACCAGACUCUCCUGGGAAGCGUGUUCAUUGGCUUCCCCGGAUUCGUUCACAGUACUCAGAGCCUUUACCUCAGGCAAGUCCUGGAAGGGUUCCAUCACCAGACUCUCCUGGGAAGCGUGUUCAUGGAAUGCUCCUCAUGCCUUCUGGGCCCUCAGAGGCUCUUCCUCAGCCCAGGCCUGGUGCACUUCCACCACCAGGUCCUCCUGGGAAGCGUGUUCAUAGACUGCUUCAUAUUCAUUCAGGGAACUCAGAGACUGUUCCUCAUCCCAGGCCUGGUGCAGUUCCUCAAUCAGGUCCUCCUGGAUAUCAUGUUCGUUGUCUGCUUCGCAUGUCACAGAGGUGGGAAGAGCCUCUUCCUCCAGCAUUGAAUUGGAUACCUCCUCCACCUGGUCCUCAGGGAGCUCUUCAUCUGGGUCAAUGAUAGCGUGCACCCUAUUAUGUGGCCAACAACUAACUCUCUUCAACCAGCUCGUCACUGAUGUUCUUGACCUCCGAGGGAUGCUUCUUCUCGCCUUCUGGACAAUACAUUCUUGGACGUGGGAUAUCUCUUCACGGCUGCUCCAGCACAUCACAGUCACUGCUCCUGACGUUGAACUUGGGGUAUCUCCUCCUGGGCACUGGACAUGGGUAUCUCCUCUCAGCUGCUCGCUGCUCCAGCACUCAUAGGCAGCCGCUCCGCACAACUAGGGGAGCCUCAUCACUGUUGGGGGUCGCCGUGUCACCUUGGUGAUGGGUGCCUCGAUCGUCAUGGAAUGAAUCCGGGCCAUGGAAGAGUGUCAUCUCUGGCUGGAAACUGUGGAGAGACCAGGUGGUGCAGGGAUCAGGGCGAGCGCGGCCUCAGUCACUGUCUCCCACCCUCCUCCAGGCCCGAGUGAAGGGGCAGGACCAGAGCUACCUGGUGGCUCAGCUCCCUCCCCAUCCUACCAAGCCUGGGAUUCUGGCAGACCAACUCUGCCUCCUUUGGUUCAAGGCACUGGGAGGCAUGUGACCCCCUAGACUGAACCUCUGAGGUCACAGGCCAGCGAGAGGACAGAGGAAGCCAUCUAGCAAGUCGAGGCCACACAUUAGCCUCUCUGUGUCUGUAACAAUGACAUUUUAUAACUCAGCUUGCUGCUACCCAGGAGAGAAACAUUCUGAAAGACAAUGCUACACAGGCCCUUUGUUUCAUAUAUGGCGGGAACAAUAAAUACAACUCAAUUAACUGAAAUCCGUGAGUAUUUCUGGUUCAGUUUUUCAAGGCAUCCUUUGGUGCUUUCCACUGUUCUGCUUGAGAUUGUUACCUAAUCCAUCUAGAUUAGCUGAGCUGUUCCUCUUGAUAAUCCAGUUCCAACACAGUUAGCCGCCCUGCCCCCCCAACACCAAAGAGGAAAGGACAUAAAAAGGUAGAAGGUCAGAACAGAGAACCCACACGGAGCCGACUCCCUGAGGCAGUCUCCAGCUGGCAACCAGGCCUGGUAACCAACACGUGAACCUCCUCGAUAACGUGGGGAUCUGCAGCCUGGCUUCCCCGAGCCCACCUCUCUCAGCCUCAGCCUCCUCAUCUGUCAACCGUUGCAGGGCUGUGGGGAGGAGGAGGUGAAGGGACGCCCAGCAGGCCUCGAGCCCCUGCCCAAGGAGGGAAGGGCUCCCAGACGGCAGUGUGGUUACAACACCGUCACCGCACCUCCUCCUCCUCGUCAUCUUCAUGACCAAGAACAUACACUAGGUCAAGAAGCUACAACACACAGUGCCAGUUCAACAAAGAUAUAAAACUACAGCCGACCACGGAGAAUAUCACUCACUAUUAGAUGGACACCGCUAUCAGGACUCUGAGGCUUGAGACUAGCAAGAGGGGGAGGCCCAAUAUCCCUCGCCAUCCCAGUUCAGCAGGAAGUAGCCAGAGAGACCUCGAUGCCCCAUUCCCAAAGAAUUGGG